AGGUGGUGCAUGGUUGUCGUCAGCUCGUGUCGUGAGAUGUUGGGUUAAGUCCCGCAACGAGCGCAACCCUCGCCUCUAGUUGCCAGCAUUCGGUUGGGCACUCUAGAGGGACUGCCGGCGACAAGUCGGAGGAAGGUGGGGAGUGACGUCAAAUCAUCAUGCCCCUUACUGACCUGGGCUACACACGUGCUACAAUGGGCGGUACAAAGGGCUGCGAACCCGCGAGGGGGAGCGAAUCCCAAAAAGCCGCUCUCAGUUCGGAUUGCAGGCUGCAACUCGCCUGCAUGAAGCCGGAAUCGCUAGUAAUCGCGGAUCAGCAUGCCGCGGUGAAUACGUUCCCGGGCCUU
rnacentral:rRNA from 1 species